rnacentral:rRNA from 1 species
AGAGUUUGAUCCUGGCUCAGAACGAACGCUGGCGGCGUGGAUAAGACAUGCAAGUCGAGCGAGAUUUUUUCCUGUAGCAAUACAGGGAAAAGUCUAGCGGCGAACGGGUGCUUAACACGUGGGCAACCUGCCAAGAAGUGGGGGAUAGCUCGCCGAAAGGCGAAUUAAUACCGCAUGUGAUCAGAGUGGACAUCCAUUCGAAAUCAAAGUCGGGGCAACCUGACGCUUCUUGAGGGGCCCGCGGCCUAUCAGCUAGUUGGUGAGGUAACGGCCCACCAAGGCUUAGACGGGUAGCUGGUCUGAGAGGACGACCAGCCACACUGGGACUGAGACACGGCCCAGACACCUACGGGUGGCAGCAGUCGAGAAUUUUUCUCAAUGGGGGAAACCCUGAAGGAGCGACGCCGCGUGGAGGAUGAAGGUCUUCGGAUUGUAAACUCCUGUCAUUGGGGAACAAUGCGUAAAUAUUAACUGUAUUUGCGUUGAUAGUACCCGAAGAGGAAGAGACGGCUAACUCUGUGCCAGCAGCCGCGGUAAUACAGAGGUCUCAAGCGUUGUUCGGAUUCAUUGGGCGUAAAGGGUGCGUAGGCGGCGCGGUAAGUCGGGUGUGAAAUCUCGGAGCUUAACUCCGAAACUGCAUUCGAUGCUGCCGUGCUUGAGGACUGGAGAGGAGACUGGAAUUUACGGUGUAGCGGUGAAAUGCGUAGAUAUCGUAAGGAAGACCAGUGGCGAAGGCGGGUCUCUGGACAGUUCCUGACGCUGAGGCACGAAGGCCAGGGGAGCAAACGGGAUUAGAUACCCUAGUAGUCC